rnacentral:rRNA from 1 species
AGUGAACGCUGGCGGUAGGCCUAACACAUGCAAGUCGAACGGCAGCACAGUAAGAGCUUGCUCUUACGGGUGGCGAGUGGCGGACGGGUGAGGAAUACAUCGGAAUCUACUUUUUCGUGGGGGAUAACGUAGGGAAACUUACGCUAAUACCGCAUACGACCUACGGGUGAAAGCAGGGGAUCUUCGGACCUUGCGCGAUUGAAUGAGACGAUGUCGGAUUAGCUAGUUGGCGGGGUAAAGGCCCACCAAGGCGACGAUCCGUAGCUGGUCUGAGAGGAUGAUCAGCCACACUGGAACUGAGACACGGUCCAGACUCCUACGGGAGGCAGCAGUGGGGAAUAUUGGACAAUGGGCGCAAGCCUGAUCCAGCCAUACCGCGUGGGUGAAGAAGGCCUUCGGGUCGUAAAGCCCUUUUGUUGGGAAAGAAAAGCAGCAGGUUAAUACCCCGCUGUUCUGACGGUACCCAAAGAAUAAGCACCGGCUAACUUCGUG